rnacentral:lncRNA from 1 species
GUCCCGUUAAUAAUGACACGUUUCUUUUCGGCACGGUUAUUAAGAAUAGUUAUAUUAGGAGGUAAGUUGGAUGGUCCACAUCUUUAAUGUUAUAAUUAAUUAGUUUUAAUUAUGGUUAACAAAAGAAAAUUUAUUCAUGCUGCUGCCGCCGCCGGCGCUCUCAUCACCGGCGAGGCCGGCGGCGCCGCCACCUUCCCUUCACCCUCAUCGUCUCCUUCCACCCCAAGGCCCAAAUCCAUCUACAGACAUUUCAAAUAACAGUGGAUUCACACAAGAAAAAUCAGAAAAUCAACAGUCCAAUUGAUUCAAACUAAUAUUUCGAAAAAGAAAAAUCAACAGCAGAGGCGGCUCAGAUCCGGAGCUCUAAUUUCUGCAGAUACAAGGGGAGGCGGUGCAGAUCCGGAGCCCUAAGUUCUGAAGAUUAAAGGGGAGAGUGGAGACGAGAUAUUUUGAUGACCCAUGAGGAUUUAUCGGGGAGCGGCGAUUGGAGGGAAUAGAUUGUGCGUUUGGAGAGGUAGAAGCCCCAGCUGGUGUCGGAGAUCCCGGAAUUGGGGAGGACGGGGAAGCGCGCGACGGAGGAGGGCGGAGGAGGGACGGCGGCGCGCCAGGUGGCGCAAAUGGAGCGGAAGCGGAGGACGUCGGUUGAGGUGGGGAGGUG